ACUCUGUACCACAAGUUGAUUGAUAUAAUUGAUUGCAUUGUAUGUAUGCACUGCAAAUACACUAAUUAAAUAGCACACACCAGCUAACCACCUACACACAAGUAUUUAAUUUUCGAGUGAUAUUGUAAACAAUGAACUGAUGUCUUUUCUAAAUAUAUUAUUAAACCAAAGUUUUCAGCCUAACCUUGGCCCCUUUUUUCUCUUGUUAUAUCGAGAUCAUGGGAGUUCAUAAAUCUAGAUUUCUAACUACUAUAUUCCUUCUUUUUAUACUAGUAAUACUGCUCCAUCUUUCAAGUUGCAGGCACAUUUCCUGGGGGCUUAAGGAAGAGAUUAUGGAACAAAGAACAAGAAGCAGGUUCCCCUUUUCUUCAUUCCCACAUAGUUAUAAUUCUGCUGAAAUCAAAGACAACAAGGUCAGUGGAUUUCAUACUGUUUCACAUACAGCUACUCCAGGUGGACCAAACCCACUUCAUAACUGAAUGAAAGAAAAAUAGGCAUCAUCAUCAUUAUCAUGAAGUCUCUAGUGAAAGCAGAUCUGGUAUAAUUAACCACAAAGGGUAGCAAUUUCUUAGAAGCAAGACAUAGUUUGAUUUCAUUUUCCUUAAUUACCUUUGCAGAAUCCAAAAUGGUGCUUUAGUUAGUUUGCAUCAUAAAGCUAUGCCAGGCCAUUUCCUUUGAUAUAUAUGUAUAAUAGAAAAAGCAUAUGUUUUACAAUUUACAUAUAUCACUUAAAAGUUGCUUGCACUUAAUUAUGAGGAUCAUCGGGCAUAGUAUAUAUAUGGUGAAGGAAAUUAUAAUGUACUUGCCCAUAGUCUAUGUUGAUUAUCUCACUAUAGCAAUAACGUUCUUUCCAAUUAAAAUGUUCAUUUUUCAUCUGUAUCUUGCCAAAUCCUUACUGCAGAAGAUCCAAACCAGUAGAACUGGGUGUUUAAUUAGUUAUGCAUCAGUAAGCUUUAGAGGCGCAUAGCUUGAAAGCUCCGUGAAGUAGUUUUCGCGUCUUUUUGAAUAGUUGAUGCGAAAUUAAAGAUAAAUGCAUGUAACUGGAUUGCAACCAAACACGUAUGAAGCUGAAUUAGUAAAUAAGAUUAAUGUCCAUGUAUUUGUAGUGGAAACAAUUGUAUACCGUCAACUAAUUAUAAAUGAUUUAUAAAAUAAUUAUGGAUAAAGUUAAUAAAUUAAUUAUAUAUGACAAUUUGAAAUUUGCGCUAACAAAGUAAAAAAAUAAUUAUUUACUAUAUAUAUAUAUAUAUAUAUAUAUAAUGUUAUACACUAUUUACUCUUUAUAUAGUUUGCCUUAUUUUUUUUUUUUUUUGCCUUUUCUGCUUGAAACUAUGCAGGCUAAAAUCUCGUCAGAAUCCGUCUAGUGGUGAAAAGUUGUGACAACUUGUACAACGUCCUAGAUUUAAAUCUUGAGUAGCUGUGUAAAAAAUAACAUGCAAGCUAAAAAAAACACUUGGGAGGGCUGUUCCAAAUCAGUUUAACCCAAAAGUUUAGCAUCAUAAGUUAAAAAAAAAUUCUGUAAAAAAAAAAGAAGUUAAAGACAAAAUGUGCAUAUUCUACUCAUGACUUCUAUUGUACCUACCCGUUAACCUUGUCUUUACAAACGCCCUUCAUAUAUUCACACAAAAAAUCAGUUGUUUCCUUUGAAAAGAAAGAUUUUUAUAAUUGUAAACAAACAUAAAUUAGAUUCUACUUUUCUUAAAAUAUCUAAAAAAAAUAUCUCUAAAUUACUUCAUAUAUCAAAAUCACUUUAUUUUUUUUAUCUUAAACAAAUUUAUCCUAUGCGAAGAGAUGAUAUAUGAUGAAUAAUAUACAAGAUAAAGAUAAUAUCGGGAAGGAUCUAAAUAACAGAAGAUAAUAUCCUCAGAAAAGAUAAUCUAAUUUUUAUAUUGAUUUCUAAUUCUAAUUUGAAAACAUAUGAGAGAUCGUUGAUAGUUGCAGAAAACGCACUCAAAAGUGGCACACCGACACCAUACAAUUCACAGCGUAAAUCCCUAGAGUGAGAAGUGACAGUUGAGCGGAUCAAUGACAAACAAGGUAGUAUUUCAGAUGCUCAUUUUUCUUUCUUGUAGAAAAAUAAUCUGUCGGAAAAACUAACAACAGCAAUAAUAAUUUUGUUUGUUACAGAGUAAGUUUGUGUAGAUUUUUAGGUCCAGCAAUAUGUAAGAGGAAAAGAAAUAAAGGGGAAGUUGGUGGACAACG
rnacentral:lncRNA from 1 species